GGUGAACCUGCAGAAGGAUCAUUUGUGAACAAUGCUCAUGUCAAUGAUGCUUGGUGGCAUGCACCUUGUUAGUUGUAGCAUGACAGCUUGAUACUUAUCUAAACGCUUUCAUCAACUGUCUUCUGACAGCAAUGAAUGCAUCAAUUCAAAACAAUAUGAAGAGUGCAGCCAAAUGCAGUAAUCAUUGCAAAUUGCAGAAUUCCGUGAGUCAUUUUUCUUGAAUGUAGGCAUGUUCUUGGGCCACCCCUAAGGACAUCAUUUACUCAGUGCAUCUUUGUUAAUGGUGUGCUCCACAUCAUGCAUUAUGUGUGUGUGAUGUGGUAUACUCUUCUUUGCAGUUAUGCAAUACACAUUCGUUUUGUCCAACAUCUGAAUGAAUGGCUUAA
rnacentral:misc_RNA from 1 species